GGCGGGGGCAUAAAAAUCUGACCAGCGAAGCGGUUAUUAAAAUAUUCUGAGAUAUAUAACUAUAUACCCCCCCCCCCCCCCCUUUUCCCCUCCUGAAAAUCAAAUGUUUCGUGCCUUAGCAGAUGUGUGUUAGCACUAAGUUGUUCAAUUAACGCGGUUAAGAAGAAAUGUUUGUGUAUUUCGACAAAAAUUGGUAAAUUAACACCAGAGAUUCCUUCGUUUGAUCGAAAGAGUUUUCUUGCUUCAAGCUGAAUAAUUCACACCGUUCUACAUGAGAAAAAAAAGAUUUUUAAAAACCAAAGUUCCGGCGGGCUUUUUCACGUCCUAAAUUUCGAGACCUGACAAUCCGGGACAUUAAAAUUCCACUUUACCAACAAAAGGAUAAUCCCAGCUUUAUUUCUUGAUAAAGGGUCUCUGGUAAUAAUGAUACGAAGUCGGAAUUAACUCAGGUUUUAAGAAAAACAUACGUGUACAUUCUGGAUUUCAAAAGUAAGAAUUUUUGACAACAUAUUUGGCCUUGGAUAGUGCCUAUGUUCAGAAAAGAAGGUCAGAUGUUAAACUAAGCUGCCUAAUGGCAAUCGUCUUGGUUGAGGAUCGAAGUCGCCGGAUUCAACGUUUGAAGGAGACUAAUCAAGGGUAAUUUCAGCAGAUAUGUCGAGAUUUGGCAAGUAGCUUAAAAAGGACUUUUGCAAGAUUUUAUUUCAGCGUGGCGACCAAACAUUUUCAAGAACUCACUGGAAACGAUCAAGAUUCUAUCAAAAUUUGGUUCCUAUUUAAUUAGUUGUUUCAUUUACACAAGCACGGUGGGCCGUGGAAGUAUCAAUGCAAAAUGUUCACACUUCUUUGUCAGCUAUAGAGUACAUUUUUCUUUAGAAAUACAGCGUCUAAAAUGAAUUAAUAGUACUCGAUAUACAAUGCAAUGAAUUAUUCCAAACAUUUAACAAGUAUUCUUAUCUUCAAAAUUUCUGUGCAUGAAAAUAUCAAACU
rnacentral:lncRNA from 1 species